GAUGAAGAACACAGCGAAAUGCGAUAAGUAAUGUGAAUUGCAGAAUUCAGUGAAUCAUCGAAUCUUUGAACGCAUCUUGCGCUCCUUGGUAUUCUGAGGAGCAUGCCUGUUUGAGUGUCAUUAAAUUCUCAACUACACUGACUUUGAAUUGGUGUGGCUUGGAUUUGGGGGGAAAAUUGUUGUGGGCUUUUUGUAUAGUCUGCUCCCCUGAAAUUGAUUAGCGGUACCUUUGUGGAACUGUCUACAGGUGUGAUAAUUAUCUACAUCUUAGACAUCUGCUGGAAUGCUGCUUUCUAAACCUUACUUGUAUUGACAAUCUUGACCUCAAAUCAGGUAGGACUACCCGCUGAACUUAAGCAUAUCAAUAAGCGGAGGA
rnacentral:misc_RNA from 1 species